UUAAGCGACUAAGCGUACACGGUGGAUGCCCUGGCAGUCAGAGGCGAUGAAGGACGUGCUAAUCUGCGAAAAGCGUCGGUAAGGUGAUAUGAACCGUUACAGCCGGCGAUGUCCGAAUGGGGAAACCCAGUGUGAUUCGUCACACUAUCGUUAACUGAAUACAUAGGUUAACGAGGCGAACCGGGGGAACUGAAACAUCUAAGUACCCCGAGGAAAAGAAAUCAACCGAGAUUCCCCCAGUAGCGGCGAGCGAACGGGGAGCAGCCCAGAGUCUGAAUCAGCUUGUGUGUUAGUGGAACGGUCUGGAAAGUCCGACGGUACAGGGUGAUAGUCCCGUACACCAAAAUGCACAGGCUGUGAACUCGAAGAGUAGGGCGGGACACGUGGUAUCCUGUCUGAAUAUGGGGGGACCAUCCUCCAAGGCUAAAUACUCCUGACUGACCGAUAGUGAACCAGUACCGUGAGGGAAAGGCGAAAAGAACCCCGGCGAGGGGAGUGAAAAAGAACCUGAAACCGUGUACGUACAAGCAGUGGGAGCACCUUUAUGGUGUGACUGCGUACCUUUUGUAUAAUGGGUCAGCGACUUAUAUUCUGUAGCAAGGUUAACCGUAUAGGGGAGCCGCAGGGAAACCGAGUCUUAACUGGGCGUUAAGUUGCAGGGUAUAGACCCGAAACCCGGUGAUCUAGCCAUGGGCAGGUUGAAGGUUGGGUAACACUAACUGGAGGACCGAACCGACUAAUGUUGAAAAAUUAGCGGAUGACUUGUGGCUGGGGGUGAAAGGCCAAUCAAACCGGGAGAUAGCUGGUUCUCCCCGAAAGCUAUUUAGGUAGCGCCUCGUGAAUUCAUCUUCGGGGGUAGAGCACUGUUUCGGCUAGGGGGUCAUCCCGACUUACCAACCCGAUGCAAACUACGAAUACCGAAGAAUGUUAUCACGGGAGACACACGGCGGGUGCUAACGUCCGUCGUGAAGAGGGAAACAACCCAGACCGCCAGCUAAGGUCCCAAAGUCACAGUUAAGUGGGAAACGAUGUGGGAAGGCACAGACAGCCAGGAUGUUGGCUUAGAAGCAGCCAUCAUUUAAAGAAAGCGUAAUAGCUCACUGGUCGAGUCGGCCUGCGCGGAAGAUGUAACGGGGCUAAACUGUGCACCGAAGCUGCGGCAGCGACACUUAGGUGUUGUUGGGUAGGGGAGCGUUCUGUAAGCCUGCGAAGGUGGCCUGUGAGGGUUGCUGGAGGUAUCAGAAGUGCGAAUGCUGACAUAAGUAACGAUAAUGCGGGUGAAAAGCCCGCACGCCGGAAGACCAAGGGUUCCUGUCCAACGUUAAUCGGGGCAGGGUGAGUCGACCCCUAAGGCGAGGCCGAAAGGCGUAGUCGAUGGGAAACAGGUUAAUAUUCCUGUACUUGGUGUUACUGCGAAGGGGGGACGGAGAAGGCUAUGUUAGCCGGGCGACGGUUGUCCCGGUUUAAGCAUGUAGGCGGAGGUUCCAGGUAAAUCCGGUACCUUUUAACGCUGAGGUGUGAUGACGAGGCACUACGGUGCUGAAGUAACAAAUGCCCUGCUUCCAGGAAAAGCCUCUAAGCAUCAGGUAACAUUGAAUCGUACCCCAAACCGACACAGGUGGUCAGGUAGAGAAUACCAAGGCGCUUGAGAGAACUCGGGUGAAGGAACUAGGCAAAAUGGUGCCGUAACUUCGGGAGAAGGCACGCUGAUAUGUAGGUGAAGCCCCUGCGGGUGGAGCUGAAAUCAGUCGAAGAUACCAGCUGGCUGCAACUGUUUAUUAAAAACACAGCACUGUGCAAACACGAAAGUGGACGUAUACGGUGUGACGCCUGCCCGGUGCCGGAAGGUUAAUUGAUGGGGUUAUCCGUAAGGAGAAGCUCUUGAUCGAAGCCCCGGUAAACGGCGGCCGUAACUAUAACGGUCCUAAGGUAGCGAAAUUCCUUGUCGGGUAAGUUCCGACCUGCACGAAUGGCGUAAUGAUGGCCAGGCUGUCUCCACCCGAGACUCAGUGAAAUUGAACUCGCUGUGAAGAUGCAGUGUACCCGCGGCAAGACGGAAAGACCCCGUGAACCUUUACUAUAGCUUGACACUGAACAUUGAGCCUUGAUGUGUAGGAUAGGUGGGAGGCUUUGAAGCGUGGACGCCAGUCUGCGUGGAGCCAACCUUGAAAUACCACCCUUUAAUGUUUGAUGUUCUAACGUUGGCCCCUAAUCGGGGUUGCGGACAGUGUCUGGUGGGUAGUUUGACUGGGGCGGUCUCCUCCCAAAGAGUAACGGAGGAGCACGAAGGUUAGCUAAUCCUGGUCGGACAUCAGGAGGUUAGUGCAAUGGCAUAAGCUAGCUUGACUGCGAGCGUGACGGCGCGAGCAGGUGCGAAAGCAGGUCAUAGUGAUCCGGUGGUUCUGAAUGGAAGGGCCAUCGCUCAACGGAUAAAAGGUACUCCGGGGAUAACAGGCUGAUACCGCCCAAGAGUUCAUAUCGACGGCGGUGUUUGGCACCUCGAUGUCGGCUCAUCACAUCCUGGGGCUGAAGUAGGUCCCAAGGGUAUGGCUGUUCGCCAUUUAAAGUGGUACGCGAGCUGGGUUUAGAACGUCGUGAGACAGUUCGGUCCCUAUCUGCCGUGGGCGCUGGAGAAUUGAGGGGGGCUGCUCCUAGUACGAGAGGACCGGAGUGGACGCAUCACUGGUGUUCGGGUUGUCAUGCCAAUGGCAUUGCCCGGUAGCUAAAUGCGGAAGAGAUAAGUGCUGAAAGCAUCUAAGCACGAAACUUGCCCCGAGAUGAGUUCUCCCUGAGACUUUAAGUCUCCUGAAGGAACGUUAAAGACGAUGACGUUGAUAGGUCGGGUGUGUAAGCGUAGCGAUACGUUGAGCUAACCGAUACUAAUGAACCGUGAGGCUUAACCUU
rnacentral:rRNA from 1 species